rnacentral:rRNA from 1 species
AGUGAACGCUGGCGGCGUGCCUAACACAUGCAAGUCGAACGAUGAUGAUGGAGCUUGCUCUAUCGGAUUAGUCGCGCACGGGUGAGUAAUGCAUAGAUAAUGUUCCCCUUAGUUUGGGAUAGCCACUGGAAACGGUGAUUAAUACAAGAUACUUCUUCUCAUUAUAAGAUGAGUAGGGAUAGUUUUGUCGUUAAGGUAUCAGUCUAUGUCCUAUCAGCUAGUUGGUGAGGUAAUGGGUCACCAAGGCAAUGACGGGCAUCUGGUUUGAGAGGAUGAUCAGACACACUGGGACUGGGACACGGUCCAGACUCCUACGGGAGGCAGCAGUGAGGAAUAUUGCACAAUGGAUGAGUGUCUGAUGCAGCAACGCCGCGUGGAGGAUGACGCAUGUCGGUGUGUAAACUCCUUUUAUUAGGGAAGAUUAUGACGGUACCUAAUGAAUAAGCACUGGCUAACUCCGUGCCAGCCGCCGCUGUAA